rnacentral:rRNA from 1 species
GACAGAGGCCCCAAGCGUUAGGCGGAAUCACUGGGCUUAAAGCGUGUGUAGGCGGAUCGUUAAGUGUCUUGUGAAAUCCCACGGCUCACCCGUGGAACUGCUGGGCAUACUGGCGAUCUUGGGCCAACUAGGGGCAGUCGGAACAAGCGGUGGAGCGGUGAAAUGCGUAGAUAUCGCUUGGAACGCCGAAGGUGAAAACAGACUGCUGGGGUUGCGCCGACGCUGAGGCACGAAAGCGUGGGGAGCAAACAGG